AGUAACACGUAGUCAACCUACCCUAUGGACGAGAAUAAUCUCGGGAAACUGAGCAUAAUUCUCGAUAGAUCAUAAUGCCUGGAAUGGUUUAUGGUUAAAAUGAUUCGUCGCCAUAGGAUGGGACUGCGGCCUAUCAGCUUGUUGGUGAGGUAAUGGCCCACCAAGGCGAUUACAGGUACGGGCUCUGAGAGGAGAAGCCCGGAGAUGGGUACUGAGACAAGGGCCCAGGCCCUAUGGGGCGCAGCAGGCGAGAAAACUUUGCAAUGUGCGAAAGCACGACAAGGUUAAUCCGAGUGAUUUCUGCUAAAGAAAUCUUUUGUUAGUCAUAAAACCACUGAUGAAUAAGGGGUGGGCAAGUUCUGGUGUCAGCCGCCGCGGUAAAACCAGCACCUCAAGUGGUCAGGAUGAUUAUUGGGCCUAAAGCAUCUGUAGCCGGCUCUGUUAGUUUUCGGUUAAAUCCAUGUGCUUAACACAUGGGCUGCCGAAAAUACUGCAGUGCUAGGGUAGCCGGAGAGGUAGACGGUACUCAGUAGGAAGGGGUAAAAUCCUUUGAUCUAUUGAUGACCACCUGUGGCGAAGGCGGUCUACCAGAACACGUUCGACGGUGAGGGAUGAAAGCUGGGGGAGCAAACCGGAUUAGAUACCCGGGUAGUCCCAGCUGUAAACGAUGCAGACUCGAUGAUGCAUUGGCAUAUAGCCAGUGCAGUGUCGCAGGGAAGCCGUUAAGUCUGCCGCCUGGGAAGUACGUACGCAAGUAUGAAACUUAAAGGAAUUGGCGGGGGAGCACCACAAGGGGUGAAGCCUGCGGUUCAAUUGGAGUCAACGCCAGAAAUCUUACCCGGAGAGACAGCAGAAUGAAGGUCAAGCUGAAGACUUUACCAGACAAGCUGAGAAGUGGUGCAUGGCCGUCGCCGGCUCGUGCCGUGAGAUGUCCUGUUAAGUCAGGUAACGAGCGAGAUCCCUGCCUCUAGUUGCCACCAUUACUCUCAGGAGUAGUGGGGCGAAUUAGCGGGACUGCCGCAGUUAAUGCGGAGGAAGGAGGGGGCCACGGCAGGUCAGUAUGCCCUGAAACUCUGGGGCCACACGCGGGCUGCAAUGGUAGUGACAGUGAGUUCCUAAUCCGAAAGGAGGAGGUAAUCUUCAAACGCUACCACAGUUAUGAUUGAGGGCUGCAACUCGCCCUCAUGAAUAUG
rnacentral:rRNA from 1 species